GCUCCUUUGACCUGUCCGAUGAAAUGCUGGUUAUGUUCUACAGUUACUACACACAGGACCAUGUAACACCCCGAAACCCAACUCUUGGGAUCUUAUUGGUAAAGCUAAAUGGGAGGCGUGGAAAGCCUUAGGAAAUGUGUCAAAGGACCAAGCCAUGCUGGAAUAUGUUCAGGAAAUACAGCUGGUUGUAAAGAUUGUAGAGAUGAAGCUCUCUCACACUGAGGUAUCAAUAAAAAAUAGUUUAAACCAGAAACAAUAAAAUGUUUGAUUACAGAUAAUAGAAACCCUCCUGGUCACAGACAGGAUGGCAGAAUUAAUGGACACUCCUGACCCAUUUUAUGAGAUAGUGUUGGAAGGUGAUGAUGAUGAAGAAGAUGACGAGGCUAGUGAAGCAGCACCCUUAUCCACAGGUACUUUUAUGUAAAAGCAUUUAAUCAUUUAAUCUGAGCCCCUUUAAUCAACAUUUUAUAUUUUGAUGAAUUUUCAAACAGGAGACACUAAUGCUGAAAAAACGGAUGAUGCUGCCGCUGAGAAAGUUAAAGAGGGGGAAAGUGAAAUUAAUGGGGAAAAUAUAGAAGAUGACAUGGAGAUGGAGGAGAGAUUCAAGUGCAUUUGCAGCAGGGAGAGAAGAUUUAUCAGUGUUUAAUGGAAGUGAGGAUGAGAUGUACAGUGACUCAAUGGAAAAUACAGCAACACAAGAGAAGGGUUCGGGAGUUCCCAGGGUCCAUUUGGCAGAUGUGAGUGUGACUGGGGCCAACAUGCAACAAGGGGGAAACAGAGCGCCUCAGUGUGGGAGUCAGGAUGGAAAACCACAGGGAGUUACACCCCCUGUCCCCCACCCACCGACACUUGGACCGGUCCAAACUAACAGAAUCUCAGCAGGCAGUGGAAGAGGCCAUCAGUUAAUGGGAACUAUCCGACCAGACGAACAUGAUAACUUAUCAGAGCGCGGUUGCCAAGGACAUGGCCAGCGCUGGGAGACAGAAGAGAAAGCAGACAAGCAGGCAUUUAACACACAGAUCGCUGUGAUAUAG
ensembl:lncRNA